UGGGGAAUUUUGGGACAAUGGGCGAAAGCCUGAUCCAGCAAUGCCGCGUGUGUGAAGAAGGCCUUCGGGUUGUAAAGCACUUUUGUCCGGAAAGAAAUCCUUGGCUCUAAUACAGUCGGGGGAUGACGGUACCGGAAGAAUAAGCACCGGCUAACUACGUGCCAGCAGCCGCGGUAAUACGUAGGGUGCAAGCGUUAAUCGGAAUUACUGGGCGUAAAGCGUGCGCAGGCGGUUUGCUAAGACCGAUGUGAAAUCCCCGGGCUCAACCUGGGAACUGCAUUGGUGACUGGCAGGCUAGAGUAUGGCAGAGGGGGGUAGAAUUCCACGUGUAGCAGUGAAAUGCGUAGAGAUGUGGAGGAAUACCGAUGGCGAAGGCAGCCCCCUGGGCCAAUACUGACGCUCAUGCACGAAAGCGUGGGGGAGCAAACAGGAUUAGAUACCCUGGUAGUCCACGCCCUAAAACGAUGUCAACUAGUUGUUGGGGAUUCAUUUCCUUAGUAACGUAGCUAACGCGUGAAGUUGACCGCCUGGGGAGUACGGUCGCAAGAUUAAAACUCAAAGGAAUUGCGGGGUCAUAGCUGUUUCCU
rnacentral:rRNA from 1 species